CAAAGAACAAACGGAGACUGGUGUAUGAUCAGGAUCCCACCAUAAGUUUUUCUCAUAAAUGGUCAACUGAAAAUUUCAAUUAUUCAUAAUCUUUGGACUACUUCAAAAAAUUUCAUGACGUACGUUGUUCUCACUCCAGUGUCCA
ensembl:ncRNA ZC506.5 ncRNA